rnacentral:misc_RNA from 1 species
UGGCUCUCGCAUCGAUGAAGAACGCAGCGAAAUGCGAUAAGUAAUGUGAAUUGCAGAAUUCAGUGAAUCAUCGAGUCUUUGAACGCACCUUGCGCUCCUUGGUAUUCCGAGGAGCAUGCCUGUUUGAGUGUCAUGAAAUUAUCAACUUGCAAGCCUUUGCGGGUUUGUAAGUUUGGACUUGGAGGUCUUUUGUUGGCUUAGAAGUUAACUCCUCUUAAAUGCAUUAGCUCGAUUCCUUGCAGAUCGGCUCUUGGUGUGAUAAUUGUUUAUGCCAUGGCUGAGAUGUAUAUUGGUGGGCUUCUAAUUGUCUUUUUGAAGACAAGUAUCUUAACAUCUGACCUCAAAUCAGGUAGGACUACCCGCUGA